rnacentral:rRNA from 1 species
AGCUCCAAUAGCGUAUAUUAAUGUUGUUGCAGUUAAAAAGCUCGUAGUCGGAUCUCGGGGCGGGCUGAUGGUUCCGCCGAUUGGUGUGAGACUGUCGGCCUUCCUUCCUUCCGAGGGCCUUACCUUCUUAACCGAUGGGUUUUGGUGCUCGGGACUUUUUACUUUGAAAAAAUUAGAGUGUUUAAAGCAGGCGUUUGCAU